rnacentral:rRNA from 1 species
UCAAAGAUUAAGCCAUGCAUGUCUAAGUAUAAACAACUUGUAUUUGUGAAACUGCGAAUGGCUCAUUAAAUCAGUUAUAAUUUAUUUGAUAAUGACAUUUACUAUAUGGAUAGCCGUAGUAAUUCUAGAGCUAAUACAUGCGUAAAGGUCAAACCUUGAUGGAAUGACUGUAUUUAUUAGAUCGUAGACCGAUGCAUCUUUCGGGGUGUUUUUAGGUGAAUCAUAAUAAGUUUGUCGAAUCGGUGAAUUAUUUCAUCGAUGUGUCAUUGAAAUUUCUGCCCUAUCAACUUGUGAUGGUAGGAUAGAGGCCUACGAUGGUUUUGACGGGUAACGGGGAAUUAGGGUUCGAUUCCGGAGAGGGAGCCUGAGAGAUGGCUACCACUUCUAAGGAAGGCAGCAGGCGCGCAAAUUACCCAAUCCCAAUGAUAUUGGGGAGGUAGUGACAAAAAAUACUAAUUCGCUGUCCAUAUUGGGCAGUGAAAUUGGAAUGGUUUUGAUAUAACACAUCAAGAGAGAAACAAUUAGAGGGCAAGUCUGGUGCCAGCAGCCGCGGUAAUUCCAGCUCUAAUAGUGUAUACUAAAAUUGCUGCAGUUAAAAAGCUCGUAGUUGGAUUUGUGAAUCUAGACAUUUUCCGAUGGUAAGGACAUGGUUGAACUAGACCUGUUCUAUACGCCAUCGGGUGUGUAGAAUCAUUUGAAAUUUUCGAAGGGGUAUAUUACACUUAAGUGUGAUAAUAUAUUCUGUCGGAGAGUUUACUUUGAAGAAAAUGGAGUGUUCAAAGCAGGUAAUUUAUUUGCAACUGAACAGAUUAGCAUGGAAUAAUAAAAUAGGACACUGUGAGGUGGUUGAAUAGGCCAUCUUAUUGGAGGGUUUGUAUUAUAGGGAAGUGUAUGGGGCAACUUAUGCAUUUUUUUAUGGUAUGAAGUUUUCAAGUCACUGUUUUGUUGGUCUACAGUGUGUGUGUAAUGAUUAAUAGGGACAGUUGGGGAUAUUGGUAUUGCAUCGCUAGAGGUGAAAUUCUCGGAUUGAUGCAAGACGAACGAGUGCGAAAGCAUUUGUCAAGGAUGUUUUCAUUAAUCAAGAACGAAAGUUAGGGGAUCGAAGGCGAUCAGAAACCGCCCUAGUCUUAACUAUAAACUAUGCCAACUAGGGAUUGUCGGGUAUUAAGAGAUUGCUUUUAUAGUAAUUUCCGUUAGCUAUAUUUACGCGUGGGUUUACUCAUGUGUAAAUUGCCUCGCCAGGACCUGUUGAGAAAUCAUAAGUCUUUGGGUUCUGGGGGGAGUAUGGUCACAAGGCUGAAACUUAAAGAAAUUGACGGAAGGGCACCACCAGGUGUGGAGCCUGCGGCUUAAUUUGACUCAACACGGGGAAACUUACCAGGUCCAGACAGCGAAAGGAUUGACAGAUUGAGAGUUUUUUCUUGAUUCGGUGGGUGGUGGUGCAUGGUCGUUCUUAGUUGGUGGAGCGAUUUGUCUGCUUAAUUGCGAUAACGAACGAGACCUCAACCUGCUAACUAAGCUUUUCAGUAGCUAUCGCUACUGGUUAAUAUUAAGCUACUUAGAGGGACAACCACUAUUGAAGUGGGGGAAGCAUGAGGCAAUAACAGGUCUGUGAUGCCCUUAGAUGUCCUGGGCCGCACGCGCGCUACACUGAUUAAAUCAACAAGUUUAGAUAUAAGUUUUUCUCUUCGGAGAAGGCUUUUCUCCUAGUCUGAAAGGAUGGGGUAAUCUUUUGAAUUUUAAUCGUGCUGGGGAUUGAUUUUUGUAAUUAUGGAUCAUGAACUAGGAAUACCUAGUAAGUGCAAAUCAUCAGUUUGCGCUGAUUACGUCCCUGCCCUUUGUACACACCGCCCGUCGCUCCUACCGAUUGAAUGAUCAGACGAAAUGUUCGGAUUGUGGCUUGGGGAGGUCAAACUCUCUGGGUUCUUACAAGAAGAGCAGUAAAUCUUAUUAUUUAGA